rnacentral:tRNA from 1 species
ACUUGUGUAGCUUAAAUUUUUAAAGCUCAGCACUGAAGAUGCUGCUAUAGUAACUCUACUCGCAAGUA